AUUGAACGCUGGCGGCAUGCCUUACACAUGCAAGUCGAACGGCAGCACGGGGCAACCUGGUGGCGAGUGGCGAACGGGUGAGUAAUGCAUCGGAACGUACCUUUCAGUGGGGGAUAACGUAGCGAAAGUUACGCUAAUACCGCAUAUUCUGUGAGCAGGAAAGCAGGGGAUCGCAAGACCUUGCGCUGAUUGAGCGGCCGAUGUCAGAUUAGCUAGUUGGUGAGGUAAAGGCUCACCAAGGCGACGAUCUGUAGCGGGUCUGAGAGGAUGAUCCGCCACGCUGGAACUGAGACACGGUCCAGACUCCUACGGGAGGCAGCAGUGGGGAAUUUUGGACAAUGGGGGCAACCCUGAUCCAGCCAUGCCGCGUGAGUGAAGAAGGCCUUCGGGUUGUAAAGCUCUUUCGGCCGGGAAGAAAUCGCACGGGCUAAUACCCUGUGUGGAUGACGGUACCGGAAUAAGAAGCACCGGCUAACUCUGUGCCAGCAGCCGCGGUAACAC
rnacentral:rRNA from 1 species